rnacentral:rRNA from 1 species
GAUGAACGCUAGCGGGAGGCCUAACACAUGCAAGCCGAGCGGGAUUUGUUGGUUAGCUUGCUAACUAACAAUGAGAGCGGCGUACGGGUGCGUAGCACGUGUGCAACCUGCCUUUAUCUGGGGGAUAGCCUUUCGAAAGGAAGAUUAAUACCCCAUAACAUAUUGAUUGGCAUCAGUUAAUAUUGAAAGCUCCGGCGGAUAGAGAUGGGCACGCGUAAGAUUAGCUAGUUGGAGAGGUAACGGCUCACCAAGGCUGCGAUCUUUAGGGGGCCUGAGAGGGUGAUCCCCCACACUGGUACUGAGACACGGACCAGACUCCUACGGGAGGCAGCAGUGAGGAAUAUUGGACAAUGGGUGAGAGCCUGAUCCAGCCAUCCCGCGUGAAGGACUAAGGACCUAUGGUUUGUAAACUUCUUUUAUACAGGGAUAAACCUACUCUCGUGAGGGUAGCUGAAGGUACUGUAUGAAUAAGCACAGGCUAACUCCGUG